rnacentral:rRNA from 1 species
CCUACGGGAGGCAGCAGUGGGGAAUAUUGCACAAUGGGGGAAACCCUGAUGCAGCGACGCCGCGUGAGUGAAGAAGUAUUUCGGUAUGUAAAGCUCUAUCAGCAGGGAAGAAAAUGACGGUACCUGACUAAGAAGCCCCGGCUAACUACGUGCCAGCAGCCGCGGCAAUAUGUCGGGGGCAAGCGUUAUCCGGAUUUACUGGGUGUAAAGGGAGCGUAGAAGGCAGCGCAAGUCUGAAGGGAAAUCCCAUGGCUUAACCAUGGAACUGCUUUGGAAACUGGGCAGCUGGAGUGCAGGAGAGGUAGGCGGAAUUCCUAGUGUAGAGGUGAAAUGCGUAGAUAUUAGGAGGAACACCAAUGGCGAAGGCAGCUUACUGGACUGUAACUGACGUUGAGGCUCGAAAGCGUGGGGAGCAAACAGGAUUAGAUACCCCGGUAGUC